rnacentral:rRNA from 1 species
GAUGAACGCUAGCGACAGGCCUAACACAUGCAAGUCGAGGGGCAGCACAAGGAGCAAUCUGAGGUGGCGACCGGCGCACGGGUGAGUAACACGUAUGCAACCUACCUGUAAGAGGGGAAUAACCCGUUGAAAAACGGACUAAUACCGCAUAACACUGUAGAACCGCAUGGUUUGACAGUUAAACAUUUAUGGCUUACAGAUGGGCAUGCGCAUGAUUAGCUAGUUGGUGAGGUAACGGCUCACCAAGGCAACGAUCAUUAGGGGUUCUGAGAGGAAGGUCCCCCACACUGGUACUGAGACACGGACCAGACUCCUACGGGAGGCAGCAGUGAGGAAUAUUGGUCAAUGGGCGAGAGCCUGAACCAGCCAAGUCGCGUGAAGGAAGAAGGUUCUAUGGAUUGUAAACUUCUUUUGCAGGGGAAUAAAUGACGGUACGUGUACUGUUUUGUAUGUACCUUGCGAAUAAGGAUCGGCUAACUCCGUGCCAGCAGCCGC